rnacentral:lncRNA from 1 species
UUGUUCUUUAUUUAUGUAGAUUUUAUUCUGCAUUAUGGCUUCUUUAUUUUUAUUGCAUAACAACAUAGAUAAUAAUAAGUUGACCGAUCCAAACUAUGUGGAUUGGUUGAGAAACUUAUAAAUUAGGUUCAUACCAGAGAAGAACUCCAAUAUUCUGAAUAUUUUUGACCUUGGUGAAGGAACCAGAUCUAGGGUUUCAGGGUU